rnacentral:rRNA from 1 species
UACGUAGGGUGCAAGCGUUGUCCGGAAUUAUUGGGCGUAAAGAGCUCGUAGGCGGUCUGUCGCGUCUGCUGUGAAAAUUCAGGGCUUAACCCUGAGCUUGCAGUGGGUACGGGCAGACUAGAGUGCGGUAGGGGAGACUGGAAUUCCUGGUGUAGCGGUGAAAUGCGCAGAUAUCAGGAGGAACACCGGUGGCGAAGGCGGGGUCUCUGGGCCGUAACUGACGCUGGAGGAGCGGAAAGCAUGGGGGAGCGAAACAGG